rnacentral:rRNA from 1 species
CACGUAGGGGACGAGCGUUGUUCGGAAUUACUGGGCGUAAAGGGCGCGUAGGCGGCCUUCUAAGUCGAACGUGAAAUCCCUGGGCUCAACCCAGGAACUGCGUCCGAUACUGGAAGGCUUGAAUCCGGGAGAGGGAUGCGGAAUUCCAGGUGUAGCGGUGAAAUGCGUAGAUAUCUGGAGGAACACCGGUGGCGAAGGCGGCAUCCUGGACCGGUAUUGACGCUGAGGCGCGAAAGCCAGGGGAGCAAACGGG